rfam:Chishuiella changwenlii strain DSM 27989 genome assembly, contig: Ga0131172_108
UUAUAACUCUUCAUGCGACAAGGAUUGUAACGAUAUCCUUUUGUGUAGCGUUCUAGCGAACAAAAGAUAAAGUGGAAAGCCUGGCAGUCG